rnacentral:rRNA from 1 species
CAAGCAGAAGACGGCAUACGAGAUAGCUUCAGGUGACUGGAGUUCAGACGUGUGCUCUUCCGAUCUGUUUCCCAGUCACGAUAAUCGGGGCAGGGUGAGUCGACCCCUAAGGUGAGGCCGAAAGGCGUAAUCGAUGGGAAACAGAUUAAUAUUUCUGUACUUCCGCUAACUGCGAUGGAGAGACGGAGAAGGCUAGGCUAGCGCGGCGUUGGUAGUCCGCGUUUAAGGUGGUAGGUGGUGUUCUUAGGCAAAUCCGGGGACACGUACUUUAAUGUACACACUGAGAGCUGAUGACGAGGUCCUAAGGGACUGAAGUAGUUGAUGCCAUGCUUCCAGGAAAAUCUUCUAAGCUUCAGGUUAGUGGGAAUCGUACCCCAAACCGACACAGGUGGUCGGGUAGAGAAUACCAAGGCGCUUGAGAGAACUCGGCUGAAGGAACUAGGCAAAAUGGUACCGUAACUUCGGGAGAAGGUACGCUCCUGUUGGUGAUGAGACUUGCUCUCUAAGCUGACGGGAGUCGCAGAUACCAGGUGGCUGCAACUGUUUAUCAAAAACACAGCACUGUGCAAACUCGCAAGAGGAAGUAUACGGUGUGACGCCUGCCCGGUGCCGGAAGGUUAAUUGAUUGGGUUAUCGCAAGAGAAGCUCAUGAUCGAAGCCCCGGUAAACGGCGGCCGUAACUAUAACGGUCCUAAGGUAGCGAAAUUCCUUGUCGGGUAAGUUCCGACCUGCACGAAUGGCGUAAUGAUGGCCACGCUGUCUCCAGCCGAGACUCAGUGAAGUUGAAAUUGCGGUGAAGAUGCCGUAUACCCGCGGCUAGACGGAAAGACCCCGUGAACCUUUACUAUAGCUUGGCACUGAACAUUGAACCUACAUGUGUAGGAUAGGUGGGAGACUUUGAAGUUGUGACGCUAGUCAUGAUGGAGUCGUCCUUGAAAUACCACCCUUGUAGUUUUGAUGUUCUAACCUAGGUCCCUUAUCGGGAUUAGGGACAGUGCCUGGUGGGUAGUUUGACUGGGGCGGUCUCCUCCCAAAGAGUAACGGAGGAGCACGAAGGUUGGCUAAGUACGGUCGGACAUCGUACGGUUAGUGCAAUGGCAUAAGCCAGCUUAACUGCGAGACAGACACGUCGAGCAGGUACGAAAGUAGGUCAUAGUGAUCCGGUGGUAUCGUGACUGGGAAAC